UAGUCUAAAGAAGCUGGCAAAAUUGCACUGUAGAAAUGAACAGUGUUUUGCACCACAUUUCAGUUUAUUUACAAGAUUGCCAUCGCCUCUUCAGUUUCAGAUUGAAAUUUUCAAUUUAUUUACGAAAUUGCCACCCUUCAGCGUGUACGUGUCGACCAUCGUAGAAAGGGUGGGGGAUGGAAGCAAACCCGAUGUUGUUCCAGAGAUCUCUUCGAUGACAAGCCCAUUUUGCUCCAGAGCUCUUCAACGACAAAGUCGAUUCAGCGCCUCACCGUCGCACACCUCGCCUUCCCCUCGCCUUCGCACACCUCGCCUUACCUCGCCGCCGCACUCCUUACCAGAACUCGAAUCAAUGGGAGAGAGGCGUGGGAUGGCAGGGAGGGGAAGGGAGAGGGAGGAGUGAGGCUGCCAAAAAGGGGGUUAGGGUUGAUUUUUUAUCCCCAAAUCAAUUGUUGUUGUCGGUGAUUGAACGAGCAUUGGUUAGAGGGGAACUUUCAUUUCCUUUGUUUCUGAACCGGAAUGGGGUCGAUGGGACCAUGCUCUGUUGCACGUUCAGAUGAGUGAUUUGAGGGAUUUGAUUUCAGGGAUUGGUAAUCCCAUCCCGUGUUUUCCCCUCAUCUCUGUCACACUCAACCUCUCUCUAAUCCUUUAUGUUUCUCUCUCUUUUAGACUCUUCCUUUCUCUCAAUUGUCCAUCGCUCUCAACUUUAGUGCUAACCCUAAUUUGUUCUUUCAUUCCUUAAUUUUCUCCAUCCGAGCAAUGAAAAAUCGAACUGGGUUUUCAGAUUAUUGAUGCUUCACGGACAGAAAAUGGAGAGAGUUGAUUAAGGGAGUUGGUGAGUAUGGGCUUGCACAUAGGGAAGAACGCAGAAAGAGAGAGAGAGAGAGGGAGAAGGAGGGAACGAUUGCACAGAGACAAGGAGAAAGACAGAGAGAGAUCGCAGAAAGAGGAGGAUGACAAAAAUUGAGGAGGAACCCGUGUCUGCAGAGAAUGAGACAAAAAACUACCAAGGAAGGAGGAGACUGCCAGGAAUGUAAAACCCAGGUAGGAGAAGACAAGCAAUGGCGGAGGAACCAAGGCUGUAGAUCUUUGAUAAAAGCACUGACAAUAUCAUCGCUCUUUCCAUUCCUUUAUUUUUUGAUUAGGGAUUUGCAUAUUGCUAAAAGAGAGGAAGACAUUGGCUAUUGUGCUGGAUUUGUAGCUGAGUUGAUGAUUGUCGCUACUUACCUUUUGUAUUCUUCACCGUUUUGUUCCUUAACAAGUGUCUUUUUUUGAAGGGGCUUCAUAGAUGCUUGGCAGAGUCCUGACAUCAAUUUUUUAGGGAAUGGUGGCUGAUAUUGACUCAGAUGAAGCCCCUAUUUAUAUAUCCUGAUCAUUUUUAUGUUCUAUCUUUUCUGACUUGGAUGAUAUUGAUCAAAUGAAUGAGUUAGAAACUGAAAGUUACAUUUGUUCCAUCAAUAUGUUGAUCAAAUGGAUGAGUUAGAAGCUGAAAAUUACAUUUGUUUCUUGCUACUUUUUAUACUGAACAGAUUUUGUGUAUGUAUAGUGCUUUAUUUUCAAGGUUAUUUCUCUCAACACCAUGUGAAUGUACAAAUAGUUCUUUCCCAAUUCAACCAAUUUAAAAAUUGGGAUUUUAAUUGAUGUUCGUCCAUGGUUCCUUACUUUCCAGAUAUUGAAACAUGCAUAAAUUCACCUGGAAAUUAUUCAUGUCAAUGUCCCAAAGGAUACAAACAUGAAGGCAUGGAUGAAAAGAGUUGUAUCAAAGACAACAAAUGAUCCAGCAAAAGCAUACACAUCAAACCCCUCAUUCACACAACAGCCACCAAAGAGACCAUUACUGAGCUCAACCACCUGCAAGUUUUUGAGAAACAAAGAGCCUCAUCCACAGGAAUCUGUAAUUCAUAGCAGCAGCAUACACAUGUCCUGGUUUUUUGGCAUGCAACUAAAAGUGUGAAACAUCAAUUUGAGAAGACUCUUUAGUGGUACCAAAGGGUUGACAGUGGGAGUUCUUAGUCAUCCAAAUCUAUUUCAACGCUGGACGAAGAGUUCAAACAUAUGUUAUUCUCUUAUAUAUUUGUAUUUGAAUGACAGAAGGUGACGAUGGGUGCACAAUUAGGGGGACAGAGAGAGUUGAUUGGGUACAAGAUUUGAGGGUAGGGUUGAGGGAAUAAGUGUGUUGGCUGUAAAGAGAUGGUGGGUUUGAGGCUGGAUGAAAAGAAACACCCGUCAGAGCUUUCAACAACUCGAAGAGGAGGGUUUGUAGAUAUGAAUACUUGAGGGGCAGAUGCUCACCAUGUCAUGUAUCCUUGCAGCUCAACCACCUGCAAGUUUUUGAGAAACAAAGAGCCUUAUCCACAGGAAUCUGUAAUUCAUAGCAGCAGGAACCCUGAUUCUGGGAGGAAGAAUACACUGCAUUGCCAUCUUUAGGUAUAUGUGAAUGGCUCACAAAGUUUUUCUGAAUCUGUAGAUCCAGUGGGCCCUCUUGACACUGUUAUAU